AUGAUCCUGUGGCUCAAUUUGGUUUCCUUACUGGCAGUCCUCAGAGGUGUCCUGUCAGAGGCCCAGUUGGUGGAGUCCGGAGGGGACGUGAGAAGGCCUGGAGAGUCCCUCCAUCUCACCUGCCAAGGCUCCGGAUUCAGCUUCAGCAGCUACUACAUGGGCUGGGUGAGACAGGCCCCUGGAAAAGGGCUGGAAUGGGUGGCAUACAUAAGCUCUGGUUCUGGUUCCAGUACUUACUACUCGGACAAAAUCAAGGGACGCUUCACCAUCUCCAGGGACAACUCCAAAAGCCAACUCUAUCUGCAAAUGAACAGCCUGAAGCCAGAGGACUCGGCAGUCUAUUACUGUGCGAGGGACACAGUGAGAGGAAGGGGCAGUGUUGUCACACUGAAUGGCUUUCUCUAUGUGUGGGAACGUAGUCAAGGGAACCACUGUGGAGCCACCAUCCUGAUCUCCGAUCUGCCAUCCUUGCCAUGUCCGGGCUCUAACGUCGCUAUUUAA